rnacentral:rRNA from 1 species
GUAGUGGGGAGUCUGCCCGAUAGAGGGGGAUAACUACUGGAAACGGUGGCUAAUACCGCAUAAUGUCUACGGACCAAAGCAGGGGCUCUUCGGACCUUGCACUAUCGGAUGAACCCAUAUGGGAUUAGCUAGUAGGUGGGGUAAAGGCUCACCUAGGCGACGAUCUCUAGCUGGUCUGAGAGGAUGAUCAGCCACACUGGGACUGAGACACGGCCCAG